rnacentral:rRNA from 1 species
ACAGAGGCCCCAAGCAUUAUCCGGAAUCACUGGGCGUAAAGGGUGUGUAGGCGGACGUAUUAGUCUUUCGUGAAAGCUUUUGGGCUUAACCCAGAAAACGCGGGGGAAACGGUACGACUGCGAGGACGCGAGAGGUAGAGGGAACUCAUGGUGUAGGGGUGAAAUCCGUUGAUAUCAUGGGGAACACCAAAUGCGAAGGCACUCUACUGGCGCGCUCCUGACGCUGAAACACGAAAGCGUGGGAAUCGAACGGGA